rnacentral:tRNA from 1 species
GAGAGAUAAGAUACAAGAACUGCUAAUUCAUGUACCUGAAGUUAAAACCUCAGAUCUCCCA